UACAGAGGGUGCAAGCGUUGUUCGGAUUUACUGGGCGUAAAGCGUACGCAGACGGACCGUCAAGUCGGGAGUGAAAGCCCUGGGCUCAACCCAGGAACGGCUUUCGAUACUAGCGGUCUUGAGUUUGGGAGAGGGAAGCGGAAUUCCUGGUGUAGAGGUGAAAUUCGUAGAUAUCAGGAGGAACACCGGCGGCGAAGGCGGCUUCCUGGCCCAAUACUGACGUUCAGGUACGAAAGCGUGGGGAGCAAACGGGAUAGAUACCCGGAGUAAGUCCGAUGACCAAGUCCUCGUGCUCACGUAAC
rnacentral:rRNA from 1 species